CAUUAUCGAAGUAAACCUGAUGGGUUGUUGCUGGCUUCCCAGGGGGGAAGCAUUGUGCACGCCUGUUCAUCCUUCUAUGUCCCCACCUGUGCACUCUUUGUAGACCCUCCUUUGGGUCUAUGUUUGCUUCAUAUAACCCUCCAAUGUGAAUGUUAUUGAAUGAAAUCCAUACAACUUUCAGCAACGGAUCUCUUGGCUCUCGCAUCGAUGAAGAACGCAGCGAAAUGCGAUAAGUAAUGUGAAUUGCAGAAUUCAGUGAAUCAUCGAAUCUUUGAACGCACCUUGCGCUCUUUGGUAUUCCGAGGAGCAUGCCUGUUUGAGUGUCAUUAAUAUACUAUCCAAUCCCUCUUUGUGGGCUUGGAUGUUUUGGGGGUUUGCUGGCUGUGUUCAGCUCUCCUGAAAUUCAUCGGUGGAAAUGGGCCUGCAUGUUCAUUGGCGUGAUAACUACUGGUCUACGCUUUGACGUGUGAGGCACUUUCAUGUUCUAUGUGACCUCAAAUCANGUAGGACUACCCGCUGAACUUAAGCAUAUCAAUAAGCGGAGGA
rnacentral:rRNA from 1 species